GUGGGGAAUAUUGCACAAUGGGGGGAACCCUGAUGCAGCGACGCCGCGUGAGUGAAGAAGUAUUUCGGUACGUAAAGCUCUAUCAGCAGGGAAGAAAAAGGACGGUACCUGAGUAAGAAGCCCCGGCUAACUACGUGCCAGCAGCCGCGGUAAUACGUAGGGGGCAAGCGUUAUCCGGAAUUACUGGGUGUAAAGGGAGCGUAGACGGAUAAGCAAGUCCGGAGUGGAAUGCAUCAGCUCAACUGAUGAACUGCUCUGGAAACUGUUAAUCUGGAGUGCAGGAGGGGUAAGUGGAAUUCCUGGUGUAGCGGUGAAAUGCGUAGAUAUCAGGAGGAACACCGGUGGCGAAGGCGGCUUACUGGACUGUAACUGACGUUGAGGCUCGAAAGCGUGGGGAGCAAACAGGA
rnacentral:rRNA from 1 species